rnacentral:rRNA from 1 species
UACCCGCAGCACAAGUGGUGGUCAUUAUUAUUGGGCCUAAAGCGUCCGUAGCUGGCGUGUUAGAUGCCUGGGUAAAUCGAUGCGCUUAACGUAUCGAAUUCCGGGUAGACCGGCACGCUCGAGACCGGGAGAGGUGUAGGGUACUCGGGGGGUAGGGGUAAAAUCCUGUAAUCCUCCGGGGACGACUAGUGGCGAAGGCGCUACACUAGAACGGCUCUGACAGUGAGGGACGAAGCCCUGGGGCGCAAACCGG